rnacentral:misc_RNA from 1 species
GAUGAAGAACGUAGCGAAAUGUGAUAAGUAGUGUGAAUUGCAGAAUUCAGUGAAUCAUCGAAUCUUUGAACGCACAUUGCGCCCCUUGGUAUUCCAUGGGGCAUGCCUGUUCGAGUGUCAUUUGUACCUUCAAGCUUUGCUUGGUGUUGGGUGUUUGUCCCGAGGGACUCGCCUUAAAGUAAUUGGCAGCCAGUGUUUGGUUUUGAAGCGCAGCACAAGUCGCGAUUCAAGGCUACACGCCCGCUUCCACAAGCCUUUUUUCACUUUUGACCUCGGAUCAGGUAGGGAUACCCGCUGAACUUAAGCAUAUCAAUAAGCGGGGA